rnacentral:tRNA from 1 species
GGCGUCUUAGCUCAGUUGGUAGAGCAACGGACUGAAAAUCCGUGUGUCCCCAGUUCGAGUCUGGGAGACGCCA